UGGUGUUUUCCAAUAGAAAGCAAUUACAACAUAAUCUCAUCAUCAACAGUAGAAGAAGAAGGCGAAGCAGUUUCUUGCUGAUUUUUUUUUUGUUUUUGUUCCCACCUCAAUCGGAAGAUUGAGAAUUUUGAGAGCAUUGUUUCCCAGAUUUCUAUGUUUUUUCGUUUUGGUUGGGGUUUUGUUGUUCUCUUCUGAGUCAGGUUAUUGAUUGUGGGUUUCGGAAAUUGGGAAUUCGGUUUUAUUGUGUUGGGUUUGAUUAGCUUUUACAGUUAGAGUUACUGAAUUGGGGUUUUCUUGGGUGAUUGAAUUUGAUUGUGUAAUUUCAGGGUUUUGAUUCCGAGUUUGUUGAAAGUUAAAUUCAGUUAGUCGCGUUUAUGCUUAAUUGAAGAGUUGGCUAAUAUGAUUAAUUGAAUUGAAGUUUUGUAAUAUCGUAGUUUCCUGUCCAGGUUUUUGAUUUUGAUGGUAGAUCGUUGAGCUAAGAGAAAGAAGACGAGAGAUUGAAAAUUUUGGUUGAACAGGUUGCUGGGUUUUCAAAGAGCUAGGUCUUCAUUACAUGUUUACUGUCCUCAAUUGGAGCUGCACUGCCUUCAAUUUUUGUGCAACCAAACCAAACCAUCUAUACCAUACAUUACAACACCAAUAAUAUUGUCAUCAUGUACGAAAACAAUCACAAUACCAAAUCCGCAGCAAGGCGCGGACAAAUCUUCCUAUACAUAUACUAAAGCCCCUAGAGCUAGCACUGUUCAUAGCACUGUUUGACUUCAAGGACGGUUUUGCCCCUUUUUUUCCGGUAAUUUACGACUUGCCAUUGUAGAUCUGUAUUUUUCUAAAGGGCGGUUGCAGUUUUUUUUUUUUUUUUUGCGCGAUGGAAGAGUUGUGGUCAGACCAAAAACAAAACGAAGAAAAAGAAAAGAAGUGAUUGUCAUGUUUGAGCAGAAAGCGAGAGAAGGGUAUCUGGUUUUGUUUUGAUAAGAUUGACUUUGUAGCUUGAGUGGGUGCAGGUUCGUAAGUUUUCUCCUUUCUGCUGCUCUAUUGCGUUUGUUAGUUUUUGUGUGAUUUGUUUGGCUUUUGAUUGGGUCUUUUGUUGUCGGCGGUUUUGAAUUUUUAUGGGUUUUUGAUUGGGUCUUUUGCUGUGAGGAAGAAGAAGACCUGCGCUAGCUGCUAUAUCCUUUCAGUAUAUAGGCGAAUCGAGCUUCAUCUUCGCUGUUCUGUGUGAUCAAAUUUUGCCAUCGACGUCAACGAUCGUGAAAGCUUGGUGGGAUUUCAAUUAGUGCUUUGCGUUUUGAGUGGUUCGAGUUUAUGACGGGAAGAUUGGGUUGAAAACAAAUAGAAUAGGUGUGGUAUUUGAUUGUAGUUAUUUUUGUUUAAUUGAUUAGCUGAAAAUUGUCUUUGAUUCCUACUUCCGAAUAUGUGUGAUCAUCUGUUGGCCAUAAAGAUCCAAUCUUGCCUUGCGUGUUUUGAUGACUUGAUAGGUUUUGUUUCUCCUAAUUAAUUUGAGUCAUUAUAUAUGACUUUGACUAACAUGGGAAAUGGGCAAGAGAAAAUUAAACUACUCCCAUCUCAAAAUCUCAUCUCCAUAGAUUUGAUCUAUCUUUGGCAAUGGUGCUUAUUCUUUAUAACACAUAUGUCAGUAGCCAAAAGAAGCAUUGGCUUUGAGGUCUUGAAUAGAAUUUCAUUCAUAGUUGAAGGGUUCUGGGUUGAAUAGAAUUUCAUUCAUAGCUGAAGGGACGUUCUGUUACAGUAACAUAUAGUAAUUGUCUUUCUCCUUUCUUUUUAUAAUCAAUCGAUCAUCGAGUAGACAAGUAUGUAUCAUGUACUGCAAGCGAUAUUUCAUGGUGUUUGAAAGAAAAAUAAUGUAAACCCUAUUCAUGGUGUUUGAGCCAAAUUCAGAUGUGAAGAAAGUAUGAGUUUUAAAAUUGAAGCUGAAGCAGCAGAGGAUAAGGGGUCAAGGCACAUCUCUACUACAAUAAAGGGAGGCGCCAGAUUUGGUGUCAAAGCUUCACCAAAUUUUUGAACUCCCAUAAUUACCCAUGAUUUAAAGAACAGUUCAACUUAAGUGAAAAUUAUCAAUAAGGGAUAGCAAUGUAAAAUACAAAAACAUAAAUAAGAAAAUAAAUACGGAAUCAUUGAGGAAAACAGAAAUUGCCGGCAGUUAGCACGAUCUGCUCGAAGAACGACUGGCGGGGCGCACGAUUGGAGACGGAAGGCGGACGUGGGAAAUGAUUGGAGUGGAUAUGGCUUCCUUAUUAUUCACCCCACUCUCAAUUUACGGUUCAUAUAAAAGGAGAAGGGAAAGAGGAGCAGAGCAAAAUCAAACCCAGAAAGAGGAAAAAAUUAGAAUCAAAUCGGAGACUUUCAGAUUUCGUGUUCCAUUGAUUUGUCAUUGAUUUGGGUGUCCUAUUUCCAUUGAUGUGGGCAGAGCGGAUUCUUAAUCAAACCCAAAAGGCAGAAUAAUAGGUAUCAACUCGAGCGACAGUGUUGCGGAUUCAGUAGAGGUCAGCCUUGAUAAUUGUUUCCAGAUUUUGAAUUUCAUUUAUUUGGGUUUUCGUUUUCGAUUGAAGUUCCAUGUGUUAAUUAUUACAUUGGGUAAUUUCAAAGAGUGGGUGAUUGCCAAAUGCUGCUUCGCUUUCUUUCAAUUUUUGCAGGUAAAUGUAUGGGAGAUUUCGGAACAUUGUGAAAGUUGGUGUCGGCUAAUAUUAGUUGCAGUGGAGCCACCAAGGUUUUAGUAAGGCCAUUCUGCAGUGGUUAAUUAUAACUCAAACAGAGGAACAAAAUUAAAAUCAAAAUCGACUCAGUUUUGGCGAAUUACCUAAAGGUACCUGUAAAGUAUUUGAUUGGACUUGAAAGGAAAAGCGCAAGACCAGUCUUCUUGGUUCGUCUUUCUUGGAGCAUGUUAAGGAGAUAUUGGAACCUGAUACUUUUAUUGCUGCAGCGCCUUGGGUGUACUACCCAAUAAUUGAAAAGUAUUCAAUAUAUUUGACAUAGCUCUUCAGCGCUUCCAAACCGAGCAUGGAAAAGGGUUUCCAACUCAUUUCUCCCAGAUAGGGGCUCCUGACUUCUAUACCAUUCAAAGGCCGACAAGGUUGGAAAAAGCGUCAUUUUUUUAUCACUGCUCUGAACAAGACAGCAAGCUUCAAGGACGCUAUAAACACAGACAUGCCAAAAUACUGCAACCAUCAAGUAAAGAUGCGGCCUCAAGUAAGGCCUUGAUUAGAAUUUGAUCUAAUUCAAACUCGCCGUAUUUGAUUCCUUAUUGAUUGUUAUGGGACAAGUUUCUUCAUCACGCUCUCAGCCAUCGAAUGAUGGCCAGGAACCAUCCCGUGUUCAUGCACCCAAUGCAGAAAGGCAAAGUACAAAUACCUCUCAAGGAGAGAGGAGACAAUCAGUGAUUUCUUCAGAAGCUAUUUUAUCGCAGUCUCACCCACUGGAUGAAGAUCAGGGACACACCCGUCUUCGUAUACUAGAUGCAGAAAGACAACGUAGAACUAAUUAUCAAAGAGAGAAGCGACAGUCAUUGAAUUCUUCACAACGAGCAGAAAGUUUAGCCCGAAGACGUGCUAAUUACCACUUACGGCGACAGUCGCGAAAUACAAGUGUGGAGAACAGAAGUAUGACAAAUCAACUAGAAGCAAUGGCUGGUAACUUACUACAAUGAGUCAUCUAAAAGACAAACAUCUUCAACCUUUUGUAUAACUAUUUGGAACAGAUUGCUUUCUUAUUUUGGUGGCCCACAUGUAAAUGUUCUUAUAUAUAUAUAUAUAUAUAUAUAUAUAUAUACACCUGUGCUAAAAUGGUCGAUAAAAGCACCGAGUGUAAUGUUUUAUUUUUUAUUUUUAAGAAAUAAUUUUGUUAUGUUGACAACACGUUGCCAAGUGUGUUAGAAGAGAGUGGUGGUUUAAUCAAGACUCCAAACCAAGACCCUUGGAGUUCUAGAAUGGUAUUUUUUUUUUUUUGCUACAAACUAUGACAUGAUGUUGAUUGUAGCUUUAUGUCAUGUUGUACAUAUCGACAUCUUUCCUUUAACCUGUAGCUUCAUAGCAGGGAUUUGGGAUUUUAGGAGCUGAUGAAAUGCUUAGUUUGUACCUGUAUUAAUGCAAGAUGAAUAUUGGUUGCUGGUGUUAUUUCAAAAAAGAAUUACAUGUGAAUUUCAAAGGCUUAUGAGGUUAUUGAAA